GCACAAGCGGUGGAUGAUGUGGAUUAAUUCGAUGCAACGCGAAAACCUUACCUACCCUUGACAUGCCAGGAAUCUUGGUGAGAGCCGAGAGUGCCUUCGGGAGCCUGGACACAGGUGCUGCAUGGCUGUCGUCAGCUCGUGUCGUGAGAUGUUGGGUUAAGUCUCGCAACGAGCGCAACCCUUGUCACUAGUUGCCACCAUUUAGUUGGGCACUCUAGUGAGACUGCCGGUGACAAACCGGAGGAGGGUGGGGAUGACGUCAAGUCCUCAUGGCCCUUAUGGGUAGGGCUUCACACGUCAUACAAUGGUCGGUACAGAGGGUUGCCAAACCGCGAGGUGGAGCCAAUCCCUAAAAGCCGAUCGUAGUCCGGAUCGUAGUCUGCAACUCGACUACGUGAAGUCGGAAUCGCUAGUAAUCGUGGAUCAGAAUGUCACGGUGAAUACGUUCCCGGGCCUU
rnacentral:rRNA from 1 species